GGACGUCAAUGUUAAGUUGUUGGGCUAUAUCUCUGAGAUGAGAAAUAAUUGUAAGAAAUUAUUUCUCAUCUCAGAGAUAUAGCCCAACAACUUAACAUUGACGUCCU